CCCCUUUUUCACACAUCAGCGCCAGGGUCUUUCUUCCUGCUCCCUAUAGCCCUUUGAAAAUGAUCUUUCAUUAAAAAAAUAUUAACCCUAAUAUUUCCCCUUGUUUCAAACAUCAGCGCCGCACCUAACUAGAGAUUGUGCACCUCCAUUGCCGGAAGGCCGCCCCUCCGUUGCCGGCAGCCUGCAACGCCCUUCACCUCCUUUGGUGGAAGCCGCAACGGCCUGCCCUGCAUUAGUCGUAGCCGCAACGCCUUGCGCGUUAAUUGGUCGAAGUUAGUGAAGAAGUAAGUGGUGCUUCUUUUUGUUGCAUCGUGCGGCGCGGCAGAGUGAGGUCAGUAAAACCAAAUGUCACCAAAAUUCGUGCUUUGUUAAUCAGCAAAAUUCUAGUGUGAGAAAAAUUCGUUUUUUGUUAAUCAACUUGAACGAGAAGAAGAGGAAGGUGUUUCUACAGACACUAGAAAACGAUGAAUUCUUCGGAGGAAGAAAAAGAGGUCGCUGAGAUUGACGCAACAGAAAUUACAUCCAACGGCGAAAACGCGAAAGUGAAGAAAACAAAGAAGAAGAAGAAGAGAGUGGCGUCGAAGGGCGCGGAGAAGCGGGGCGUGUGCUAUCUGAGCCGAAUCCCUCCUCACAUGGACCACGUAAAGCUUCGCCACAUUCUCUCUCAGUUCGGUGAUAUCCAACGAAUUUUUCUCUCUCCUCAAGGUUCUGCUACCCAAGUGCCUUCUAAGCGGUCCCGUGGAUCCCGAGACCAAGAAUAUGCAGAAGGAUGGGUUGAAUUCGGUGAUAAAAGGGUUGCUAAGAGGGUUGCCAGUAUGUUAAAUGGUGAACAAAUAGGGGGGAGAAAGAGGUCAUCAUUCUACUAUGACCUUUGGAAUAUUAAGUACUUAAGUAAGUUCAAGUGGGAUGAUCUGACUGAAGAACUAGCAUUUAAGAAAGCUAUUCGGGAGCAAAAGCUGGCUGUAGAACUUUCUGCUGCCAAGAGAGAGAGGGAUUUCUAUCUAUCGAGAGUUGACCAGUCACGUGCUUUGAAUGCUAUAGAGGAGCGGCUAAAGAAGAAGCAGAAGAUUGAACAAGACUCGGGAGUGGCAAAAGUGAUUCGUCAUUUCCCUCAAACAAAGCCUAUAGCUGCUGAUGCGAAGAAAAGUAAACCUGAGCUCUCAGACGAUGUAUUGGAUGCUGUAUUUGGUGGCUCGUAAUCUUAUGUAUUGAUAGCUUCAACAUCAGGAUCCAAAAGGUUGAACAUGAAGGAAGAUUUAUUUGCAAAAGAUUCUCUAGUGCUCAAAUUAAUAAUAGAAUUGGGAUUUUUUUGAGUAAGAGAGAAUAUCAGUAUGAUGUUUAUUUUGUAGAAUAAGUUACGACCAUUUUCAAGGAGAACAACAUUACAUGGAGUUAAAAGAGACUCGUCCUUGGACCUACACAUAGAUGACGCAUUUUUGGAGGAAGCUUGGAAAGUAAGGUUGACCUUCCCUUCUAGAAGGUUAAUGUUGCCUAAAGGAUAAGCUUAGCGACCAAGCUAUAUCAAGUCUCAUGCAAGGAGUCUCCUUUUAGAUGACUUAUUUUUUAGAAGCAUUUUUUAUGUAAUUGCUUCUUAGUCCUUAGCUUUGUGUUUUUUCUAAAAUACCUUUUUACAAACUCUUCUAAAUUUGUAGAAUGGUUGAAUAUUUUGAGUAAAAUUAUCAUAUAUUUGACAA